rnacentral:rRNA from 1 species
UACGUAGGGGGCAAGCGUUGUCCGGAUUCAUUGGGCGUAAAGAGCUCGUAGGCGGUGUGUCGCGUCGGCCGUGAAAACCUGCAGCUUAACUGUGGGCUUGCGGUCGAUACGGGCAUCACUGGAGUUCGGCAGGGGAGACUGGAAUUCCUGGUGUAGCGGUGAAAUGCGCAGAUAUCAGGAGGAACACCGGUGGCGAAGGCGGGUCUCUGGGCCGAUACUGACGCUGAGGAGCGAAAGCAUGGGGAGCGAACAGG